AUACGGAGGAUCCGAGCGUUAUCCGGAUUUAUUGGGUUUAAAGGGUGCGCAGGCGGCCAUUUAAGUCAGCGGUUAAAUCGUGGGGCUCCACCCCAUUCUGCCGUUGAUACUGGGUGGCUUGAUUGCGGUCGAGGUUGGCGGAAUUCGUUGUGUAGCGGUGAAAUGCAUAGAUAUGACGAAGAACACCGAUUGCGUAGGCAGCUGACCAGACCGCAAAUGACGCUCAUGCACGAAAGUGCGGGGAUCGAACAGGAUUAGAUACCCUGGUAGUCCGCACAGUAAACGAUGAAUACUUGUUUUCGGCGAUAUAAUGUCGGAGGCAAAGCGAAAGCGAUAAGUAUUCCACCUGGGGAGUACGCCGGCAACGGUGAAACUCAAAUGAAUUGGCGGGG
rnacentral:rRNA from 1 species